rnacentral:rRNA from 1 species
UACGAAGGGGGGCGAGCGUUGUUCGGAAUUACUGGGCGUAAAGGGCGCGUAGGCGGCGACCCAAGUCAGAUGUGAAAGUCCUGGGCUUAACCUGGGGACUGCAUUUGAUACUGGGUUGCUUGAAUUCGGGAGAGGAUAGCGGAAUUCCCAGUGUAGAGGUGAAAUUCGUAGAUAUUGGGAAGAACACCGGUGGCGAAGGCGGCUAUCUGGACCGACAUUGACGCUGAGGCGCGUAAAGCGUGGGGGAGCAAACAGG